rnacentral:rRNA from 1 species
UACGUAGGGUGCAAGCGUUGUCCGGAAUUACUGGGCGUAAAGCGCACGUAGGCGGUUUGUUAAGUCGGAUGUGAAAUCCCUCGGCUCAACUGAGGAAGUGCACCCGAAACUGGCAGGCUUGAGUACUAAAGAGGGUCGCGGAAUUCCCGGUGUAGAGGUGAAAUUCGUAGAUAUCGGGAGGAACACCGGUGGCGAAGGCGGCGACCUGGGUAGAUACUGACGCUGAGGCGCGAAAGCGUGGGGAGCAAACAGG